rnacentral:rRNA from 1 species
UGGGGAAUAUUGCACAAUGGGCGCAAGCCUGAUGCAGCCAUGCCGCGUGUGUGAAGAAGGCCUUCGGGUUGUAAAGCACUUUCAGCGAGGAGGAAGGUGGUGGACUUAAUACGUUCAUCAAUUGACGUUACUCGCAGAAGAAGCACCGGCUAACUCCGUGCCAGCAGCCGCGGUAAUACGGAGGGUGCAAGCGUUAAUCGGAAUUACUGGGCGUAAAGCGCACGCAGGCGGUUUGUUAAGUCAGAUGUGAAAUCCCCGGGCUCAACCUGGGAACUGCAUUUGAAACUGGCAAGCUAGAGUCUCGUAGAGGGGGGUAGAAUUCCAGGUGUAGCGGUGAAAUGCGUAGAGAUCUGGAGGAAUACCGGUGGCGAAGGCGGCCCCCCUGGACGAAGACUGACGCUCAGGUGCGAAAAGCGUGGGGAGCAAAACAGGAUUAGAUACCCUGGUAGUCCACGCUGUAAAACGAUGUCGAUUUGGAGGUUGUGCCCUUGAGGCGUGGCUUCCGGAGCUAACGCGUUAAAUCGACCGCCU